rnacentral:misc_RNA from 1 species
GAAAUGCGAUAAGUAAUGUGAAUUGCAGAAUUCAGUGAAUCAUCGAAUCUUUGAACGCACCUUGCGCUCCUUGGUAUUCCUUGGAGCAUGCCUGUUUGAGUAUCAUGAAAUCUUCAAAGUAAAUCUUUUGUUAACUCAAUUGGUUUCUACUUUGGUAUUGGAGGUCUUUGCAGCUUCACACCUGCUCCUCUUUGUUCAUUAGCUGGAUCUCAGUGUUAUGCUUGGUUCCACUCGGCGUGAUAAGUUAUCUAUCGCUGAGGACACUGUAAAAGGUGGCCAAGGUAAAUGCAGAUGAACCGCUUCUAAUAGUCCAUUGACUUGGACAAUACUUUUAUGAUCUGAUCUCAAAUCAGGUAGGGCUACCCGCUGAACUUAAGC